UACAGAGGGUGCGAGCGUUGUCCGGAAUCACUGGGCGUAAAGGGCGCGUAGGCGGCCUGGUAAGGUUGCGGUGAAAGCCCGGGGCUCAACCCCGGGUCGGCCGUGACAACUGCGAGGCUGGAGCACUGUAGAGGCAGGUGGAAUUCCGGGUGUAGCGGUGGAAUGCGUAGAGAUCCGGAAGAACACCGGUGGCGAAGGCGGCCUGCUGGGCAGUGGCUGACGCUGAGGCGCGACAGCGUGGGGAGCAAACAGG
rnacentral:rRNA from 1 species